GGGUGCAGAAAAGCCUCCACUUCCAAAAAUCCGGGGUAAAAAAUAAAAUUGUAUAACUUUCAAGAAGUGGCGAGGCACAAAGGAUCCUCUUGCAAAACAACAAUGGAAGCAGAGAAGAGGAUGGAGUCCAACAAGAAAUCAGACAACAACAGAGACAAGAAGAAGACAACGAGGAAAGAGAUAUUGGAAAAGAAGAAGAAUAUUAAAGAGAUAAUUGAAGCUGCUGUUUCUCAGAAAGACCCCCUUUCUUCCUUUCCAACUUUUCGCCAUUACAGCACGAAGGAUUUGUCUGUAUACUUGGAAUCGGGAUGCGGAGAUAGCCUCUCUUCUCCAGUAAAGCAGUAUAUUCAAAACCUCCUCAAGGUGAAUAUGGAGGCAUCUUAUGGAACAGAGUGGCCUGUAGAAGAGAAGGUGAAGCGCAGGGAGAUGGGUUCUUCUGAAGCUCGUUAUAUAUUUGUGUAUGAGAUCUCAAAUAUGGAUGCCAACAUUAUGCUCAAAUUAUCAAAGAAAGGAAGGUGUAAUGCAGACGGUAUUGAUGAUAAGGGUCAUCUUGUGGCUUUUGUACAUUACCGCUUCACCAUCGAGGAAGAAAUUCCUGUUCUUUAUGUGUAUGAAUUACAACUUGAGCAUCGUGUUCAGGGGAAGGGGCUGGGAAAAUUUUUAAUGGUUCUAAUUGAGCUGAUUGCUCAGAAGAGCAAAAUGAGUGCUGUGGUGCUAACAGUUCAGAAGGCAAACACAAUAGCAAUGAACUUUUAUAGGAAUAAACUAAGUACUGAAUAACAUAUGCUUAUCUGGAACUCGAAAAGUUUCUAGCAGCAAAAUCUUUUUCAGCUGGCAACGUUACAGUACCUGAUAUCUACUGUGUCACCCUCACAGAUGGGGUUACAGACAAAUUAUGAGCUUCUUUGCAAGUCAUUUGACUAUGAAGCUAAAUCCGUACUAGAGGGAGGUGAAGAUAAAUGACAGCACGGUGAUUCAGAGUUCGUCUGCGAAGCAUAGUACAAAGUUUUAGCCGAUGCCAGCUUGAUGAUUAUGAAACCUGUGAAGAGGUAGCAUAGCAUAAUGUGAAUUAUCUAAUAGAAAUUGCAGAGAGUAUGGUUCCUCAAGUAACAUUAUGUUCUAGUUUUUUUGUCCCAAUAUUAUUAGGGUACCCUAAUAUAUUAAUUAUUAGCUCCUAAGCAUUUUUCACUAUUCACUGCCUUUAUGUGCAUUAUGUAUGCUUGCCUUUUGCUGCUUCCAUGCAUUGUGAUACUUUUACUUGAAAUGCUUUUCCGGCUGGGGUCAAAAUAAAGCAGUUGCUGUUUGCGCCA